rnacentral:rRNA from 1 species
GAUGAACGCUGGCGGCGUGCCUAAUACAUGCAAGUCGAGCGAACGGACGAGAAGCUUGCUUCUCUGAUGUUAGCGGCGGACGGGUGAGUAACACGUGGAUAACCUACCUAUAAGACUGGGAUAACUUCGGGAAACCGGAGCUAAUACCGGAUAAUAUUUUGAACCGCAUGGUUCAAAAGUGAAAGACGGGCUUGCUGUCACUUAUAGAUGGAUCCGCGCUGCAUUAGCUAGUUGGUAAGGUAACGGCUUACCAAGGCAACGAUGCAUAGCCGACCUGAGAGGGUGAUCGGCCACACUGGAACGGAGACACGGUCCAGACUACUACGGGAGGCAGCAGUAGGGAAUCGUCCGCAAUGGGCGAAAGCCUGACGGAGCAACGCCGCGUGAGUGAUGAAGGUCUUCGGAUCGUAAAACUCUGUUAUUAGGGAAGAACAUAUGUGUAAGUAACUGUGCACAUCUUGACGGUACCUAAUCAGAAAGCCACGGCUAACUACGUG